CCUACGAGAGGCAGCAGUGAGGAAUAUUGGUCACUGGCCGGAAGGCUGAACCAGCCAAGCCGCGUGAAGGACGCAGGUGCCAAGCAUUGUAAACUUCUUUUGUCAAGGGACAAAAUCAGGCUCGAGAGCCUGACCGAGGGUACUUGAAGAAAAAGCAUCGGCUAACUCCGUGCCAGCAGCCGCGGUAAUACGGAGGAUGCGAGCGUUAUCCGGAUUUAUUGGGUUGAAGGGGAGCGUAGGCGGACUGGUUAGUCAGCGGUAAAAUCCCGGGGCUCAACCCCGGCGAGCCGUUGAUACUGGCUGUCUUGAGAUGUCGAGAGGUAUGCGGAAUGCGCAGUGUAGCGGUGAAAUGCUUAGAUAUUGCGCAGAACUCCGAUUGCGAAGGCAGCAUACCGGCGGCGAUCUGACGCUGAGGCACGAAAGCGUGGGUAUCGAACAGGAUUAGAUACCCUGGUAGUC
rnacentral:rRNA from 1 species